rnacentral:rRNA from 1 species
GACGAACGCUGGCGGCGUGCUUAACACAUGCAAGUCGAACGAAGAGCGAUGGAAGCUUGCUUCUAUCAAUCUUAGUGGCGAACGGGUGAGUAACGCGUAAUCAACCUUCCCUUCAGAGGGGGACAACAGUUGGAAACGACUGCUAAUACCGCAUACGAUCUAAUCUCGGCAUCGAGGAUGGAUGCAAGGUGGCCUCUACAUGUAAGCUAUCACUGAAGGAGGGGAUUGCGUCUGAUUAGCUAGUUGGAGGGGUAACGGCCCACCAAGGCGAGGAUCAGUAGCCGGUCUGAGAGAAGGAACGGCAACAUUGGAACUGAGACACGCCCCAGACUCCUACGGGAGGCAGCAGUGGGAAUCUUCCGCAAUGGACGAAAGUCUGACGGAGCAACGCCGCGUGAGUGAUGACGGCCUUCGGGUUGUAAAGCUCGGUUAAUCGGGACGAAAGGCCUUCUUGCGAAUAGUGAGAAGGAUUGACGGUACCGGAAUAGAAAGCCACGGCUAACUACGUG